ensembl:miRNA Mir5616 microRNA 5616
UUUCCUCUCAUUACAAGUUGAGAAUACACAGACAGAUCAACUUGUAAUGAGGUGAGACAA